CUAAUCGUAAUCAUAAUUUAACAGCUAUGUGGCAUAUACUAUGUGUGAUGAUAUUCGUUUUUCUAACAAACCUUAUAUGGUAGUAAGGGUAUCUGACCAACCUUUUUAAUUCGUGAGAUGUUAUUCGGUAGUUUUUUACAUGUAUUUUGUUUCUGUAAAAUUAACAGUUUAUCAUUCUACUGAGUAACGUACAAGCUAGACAAUUUUUUCGUUACUCGGUAAUGUCACAUCAGGUGUUUGUGUGUUGUUGGAAAAAUAAAUUUGGUAUUCGUUGCCUUAUAAAUUUUAAACGGGAAAAUAAAUUUGGUGCUCGCUUCGUGAUUUCACAAAAUUUUUUUGAAAAUGUAACCUUAAAAGAAAACUCACAGGAGGGAGGGCAAAGCCUAAAAAAUGGAGUGAGGAGGAAAACCAUUUACUGUUAUAAUAUUUGCUUGAAAAUGUGGAAAUUGAGAUGUACUACCAAAAAUUAAUUGAAAGGACCAAUAUUGAUGCGACUUCGGACAUGUUGCGCUGCAAGGUCCAGUACUGAAAGCAGAUGUAUAACAAAGCUGAAGAGAGACGCAAAUCGACAGCGCUGGAAUAAACGUUGCCGAUGAAGUUUCCACGAUAAAAGAAAAACUUUCACAAGUGUGUCCAAAUUAUCAACGAUUUUCGGUUCUAUUUGGCAGCAAAUCCUAAGCCAAUUGUGUUAUAGAGACAUUCAACUUUGAUGUGUCACAAUACUGCAGCGAUUUUACAAACUUUGUGGAGGUAGUGGAAAUUGUGGCCGAAUCAUCACAAUGAUAUGCGGAACCAUCGGGUUCACUUAAAUAGAAAGCAAAACAGAAAACACAAGGAGCAGAGGUAGCAAAAUUUCCUCCUAUCCCACCGACUUUCCUCGAAAAGUGAAAAAAAUGCUCCAAAGAAUGUUCUUAGUAAACUUAAAGAUAUACAAGAGAAAAGAGAACAGUUUUUUGAGGAACAAAUUGGAAUUGAAAAAGAAAGGAAUUGGACAGAGAUAAAGUGUUUGAAAUAAAAAAAUUGGAGCUUGAGCAAAAACAAAGACUGGGAAUGGUAUAACCAUAACUAAAGUAUAAAUAUAAUAGGGGAAUUCUCUUGCUUUUGCAAUAUUGCACGAUUUCACAAAAUGCAAAAAUCCUAUAUCGAAAUAUGCAUUAAUCGAAUUUAGUGAUAUAUUAUAAAAGCGGCUGAUUCGGUCAAUUUAUUGAGAAUUUUUAACAAACAACUGUAACAAAUCUUUAUAAUUUAAGCAGAAAUCUGUAUGUAAACUGACAGCUAAAACAGGGUUGCGAUUAUAUUUUUACG